GCUGGGCAUGGUGGCGCGUGCCUGUAAUCCCAGGUACUCAGGAGGCUGAGGCGGGAGAAUUGCUUGAACCCAGGAGGUGAGGUUGCAGUGAGCCGAGAUCACGCCAUUGCACUCCAGCCUGGGUAACAAGAGCAAAACUCCGUCUCAA
ensembl:misc_RNA Metazoa_SRP Metazoan signal recognition particle RNA